AACGCUGGCGGCAUGCUUAACACAUGCAAGUCGAACGAAGUCUUCGGACUUAGUGGCGCACGGGUGAGUAACGCGUGGGGAACCUACCCUGGAGUGGGGGAAUAACUACUGGAAACGGUAGCUAAUACCGCAUAAUCCCUGAGGGGGGGAAAGGCUUCGGCCGCUCUUGGAUGGCCCCCGCGUCCGAUUAGCUUGUUGGUAGGGUAACGGCCUACCAAGGCGACGAUCGGUAGCUGGUCUGAGAGGAUGGACAGCCACACUGGGGACUGAGACACGGCCCAGACUCC
rnacentral:rRNA from 1 species